GAUCGAUUGGCCCAGUGGUCAAGGCGCCCGCUUUACAGAGAAAAAUCGCGGGAGAUCGCAGGUUCGAUCCCUGCAUCGAUCA
rfam:Emmonsia crescens TAMH 3008 supercont1.927, whole genome shotgun sequence.